rnacentral:rRNA from 1 species
UACGGAGGGUGCGAGCGUUAAUCGGAAUUACUGGGCGUAAAGCGUGCGCAGGCGGUUUGUUAAGCGAGAUGUGAAAGCCCCGGGCUCAACCUGGGAACCGCAUUUCGAACUGGCAAACUAGAGUCUUGUAGAGGGGGGUAGAAUUCCAGGUGUAGCGGUGAAAUGCGUAGAUAUCGGGAGGAACACCAGUGGCGAAGGCGGCCUUCUGGCCUUAACCUGACGCUGAGGAGCGAAAGCGUGGGGAGCAAACAGG